rnacentral:rRNA from 1 species
AUUGAACGCUGGCGGCAUGCCUUACACAUGCAAGUCGAACGGCAGCACGGGUGCUUGCACCUGGUGGCGAGUGGCGAACGGGUGAGUAAUACAUCGGAACGUACCUUAUCGUGGGGGAUAACGCAGCGAAAGCUGUGCUAAUACCGCAUACGCCCUGAGGGGGAAAGCGGGGGAUCGCAAGACCUCGCGCGAUUAGAGCGGCCGAUGCCUGAUUAGCUUGUUGGUGGGGUAAAAGCCCACCAAGGCGACGAUCAGUAGCUGGUCUGAGAGGACGAUCAGCCACACUGGGACUGAGACACGGCCCAGACUCCUACGGGAGGCAGCAGUGGGGAAUUUUGGACAAUGGGGGCAACCCUGAUCCAGCAAUGCCGCGUGAGUGAAGAAGGCCUUCGGGUUGUAAAGCUCUUUUGUCAGGGAAGAAACACCGGCUCUAACACAGUCUGGGAAUGACGGUACCUGAAGAAUAAGCACCGGCUAACUACGUGCCAGCCGCCGCAGUAA